UCUCGUACGAUCACCGAAGUUAAGCCACGUCGAGCCUGUUCCUUACUUAGAUGGGUGUACGCUUGGGAAUACCAGGUGGUGUAAG